CCAAAGAGUAGGAUCAAAUAUAAAAUCCCAUACUAGUUGCUAUGUAUUGAUAAUUAAGUUAUUUAUCAAUAAAAUGUAAUUAUAUGAAUUUUGCAUGUGAAACCUUAAGUCAACUAAAAAUGUCUGAAAUUAUUCGAGUUUUAUGGACCUUAGUCAGUGAUGAUACGUCCUCAUUUUAGUAGUUUUACGUGAGUAAUUUCAAGCCAUUUCCUGAUGAUUUCCUAACCCUAAGUAAUUUUUCAUCUAACCUUAACUGUUAAAUGUUUCACAACAUUAACUACGUCUUUGAAACUUGCGACCAUCAUGUUACAUAGAACGGCCACGUGAUUAAAACAGUCACUGUGGUCACAUGUUACGUUCAUGACUUAAAAACGUCCACUGUGCGACAGUAAAUAGAACGGGCAUGUACGUCAGUAUGGCAAUCAACCUAUUCUGUCAUUUAGGUAUGUGUUGGACGUCAAAAAGAACAUGAACAUGCAUUUUUCAUCCUGCCAUCAGUCACUUGCUUUUUUGUUUCAUCAUUUGCUUCUUGAAGCUCAAGCAAUGCCAAACUCUGAAGUCUUCAAACUAAAUUAUAUGAUAAUUUGCAAGAUUUAUAGCACGUUGGAAUAUUAAUAACCGACUACUUUAACAGAAGUCCUUUACUAUCCAUAGUUUAUGUGAUAUCUAUUGAUACAUAUGUCACAUUCUCUAUUGAUAUUUUACUGGCAAACACUCUCAAAAUCCCCCCAGUAGGCCUGUUGUGACACAACUAGAUUUGGGUGCCCUGAGGGCCUCAACACUGCUUACUCACUUACAUCUGAGGACCCCUCUCAGUGAAGAGAGCAGGUAUAUAACCACGGAGGAAAAAACCACCUUCCGCAAACUGCGAUGAAAAUAUCCUAGAGACUCACAGAUUUAGAAUUAAAGAUCGAGGAAAUGGAGUUCAGUGCUUUGCUUCUGCUGACCCUCCUGGGACUCUUGUUUGUGGAGCCAGGGUUUGGACAGAGAGGUGACAUGGAUAUUACUGAGUGGAUGACAGAUGAAGGUAAAUUAAUUAAGAACUUGGAGGACAAACUGAAACAUGUAGAAAGAUGGCAGAAUGAUGUUGAAGCUCUGGAGGCCAAUCUCAACGCGACUGUAGAUGAGCUGACGAGACAGAAAGCUGAGGUGGACUGACUGAAGAAAGAAAAUGAAGGCCUGAAAACAAGACUGGAUUCCACAAAGGAGGAGAUGGAAAAGCUGAAAUAGAGUAGCGGUAUGAUCAAACUUACAGUGUUACAUUUUCUGUUACCUCUGUAUUUUAUACCAUAAGAUACUGACAUAAAGACACAUUACUCUGAAUGUUUUGAUGGAUUUGCUUCUUCGUAUUAACAUGUCCAUGUACUGUAACUGUCCACAGGUGCUCCCCAGAUUGCGUUCUCUGUCUCUUUGGCAAACUCUGGGGAGAUUUACAGGGGACCCUGCAUCGACAAGGCCCUGAUUUUCAAAAGGGUCUUCUCAAACGCUGGCAAUGGUUAUGACCAAAAUACCGGGUCCAUCGGCUUUGGAACAACUUCCCUGAGAUAAGGCUGGCAGAAUCGGUGACUUAAGUUCAAAUCUCUUCUCAACUUGUUUUUAUGAAUCUUCACAGCACCAGUGAACGGUCUCUACUUCUUCAGCUUCAGUACCUAUGGCUACAAUACUCACAAUACGUCAUGGGGGCCAUUUUAAUGAAAAACAGGGUUCGUCAAAUUUCAACCUAUGCUACCCCUUCAGCUGACAGCUCAGACAGUAGCAGUAACGCUGUUGUCCUGCAAUUGGCUGCUGGUGAUAAGGUGUACAUGGAACUGUGGGAUAACAGCAGAGUGUUUGAUAACUUGAAUGGACACACAACCUUCAGUGGUUUUCUUGUCUUCCCUCUGUAAAUGAUUAGAGACAAAGCAUUGCAUUGUGAUUUUAAACUGAAGAGAGAUGCGUAUUCAACAAUAUUUGUAAAAUUUGGGAAAUUGCUUUAUUUACAUUGUGGCACUGUCCCAAAGCAUGUGCUGACGAGUCUAGGGUGCUGACAUGAGAAUUACAAAGUAUGAUUAUCCUAUACAAAAUGAAAACAAACCUUUAUUGAAAAAUCUCAAAAUCCCAUGCAUGUUUUAAAGUAAAUUUUAAUGAAAAUAUGAAUGUGUGAAGCUUCUUUAGAACAUACAUGCAAAACAUAAUUUUUACAUUGUCUCUUUUCCUGUCUGUGGUGACUAAAGACAGCUUUGCAAUGACAAAAUGUGUUCACCAGCCUUACACUAAAAAUAUGCCAACCAUGAACAUGAGUGAAUAGCUCCAUCUUGUGUUCAUAGUUGGUUAUUGCAGUAGUUAGUGUAAAUAUAUUUGUAUUCCUUGUUUUGUUAUGGAAAUAACUAUAAUCCCAUCUCUAACUAAAACAUAAACAUUUUCAUUACAGUACCUUCUGAACACUGUGCAGUUAAUUUGAUUAUAUAGCAGAAAAAUGCUCUAUGUUACAUAGAUAUCCUAUCGUUUGCAUGCCUCUAGGUUUCAUUGAGGUACUGUGUAAAAUAAAUUGACCUUGAUCAAGAUA